GCAUUUUGUGUAAUCGACACUUUAAAAGGAAGCAAUCAUCAAGGCGUUAUGUAUGUUGAUGAGAUCAAUCUUUUUAAUAAAGAUUGAUAGGAAAUCAUCAUCUUAGCAAUCAUACACCCCAAUAACUAAUGAGUUAUGAUACAUAUAGAAUGUAAGAAACACCCUUCAAUCAAGAUGAUUCCAAAAACCAAAUAUCUCCUCAAGUGAUGUUAGGGAAAACUAGUUCCAACAAUGAAACUAGCACUUGAAUUCAACUCCAAAUGCCAUAAACCAAAUAUAAUUUGAUAAGUUAAGAAUCAAACACAAGAUUUUGGUUAGAGAACGCC
rnacentral:lncRNA from 1 species